GGUUAAGCGACUAAGCGUACACGGUGGAUGCCCUGGCAGUCAGAGGCGAUGAAGGGCGUGCUAAUCUGCGAUAAGCGCCGGUAAGGUGAUAUGAACCGUUAUAACCGGCGAUACCCGAAUGGGGAAACCCAGUGUGAUUCGUCACACUAUCAUUAACUGAAUCCAUAGGUUAAUGAGGCGAACCGGGGGAACUGAAACAUCUAAGUACCCCGAGGAAAAGAAAUCAACCGAGAUUCCCCCAGUAGCGGCGAGCGAACGGGGAGGAGCCCAGAGCCUGAAUCAGCAUGUGUGUUAGUGGAAGCGUCUGGAAAGGCGCGCGAUACAGGGUGACAGCCCCGUACACAAAAGCGCAUGUGCUGUGAGCUCGAUGAGUAGGGCGGGACACGUGGUAUCCUGUCUGAAUAUGGGGGGACCAUCCUCCAAGGCUAAAUACUCCUGACUGACCGAUAGUGAACCAGUACCGUGAGGGAAAGGCGAAAAGAACCCCGGCGAGGGGAGUGAAAAAGAACCUGAAACCGUGUACGUACAAGCAGUGGGAGCCCCACCACUAAGCCAGUGGUGAACUCCACAUACGCAUCCUUUGCUGAGGAUACGGUUAACGGAGCGAAAGCGACGUUCAACCUCAAAAGAAGCAGAGGGGGCUUAGUGGUGGGGUGACUGCGUACCUUUUGUAUAAUGGGUCAGCGACUUAUAUUCUGUAGCAAGGUUAACCG
rnacentral:rRNA from 4 species